rnacentral:piRNA from 1 species
AGAAAGAGUUGGGUAGAUGUGGAGAUAAGA